GGGGGUGGAGUAGGAGUAAAUUGGGUUCGGCGUCGCCACCUCCCACCUCCUCUUCCUCGCCACCACUCCCUCCCCCGCCCCCCGCCCCCAACCCCAUUCGCCGCCUCCCGAUUCCUCCCCCGCCGGCCGCCGGGCGAGCGAGCGCCUCCGGCGACCGCGGCUCCGGCGCGGACCCUCGACGCCGGAGAGGGCGCGCGGGCGGUUGGGCGGGCGAGCGCGAUGUACGGGAACGACAACUGGAUCAACAGCUACCUGGACGCCAUCCUCGACGCGGGGAAGGGCGCGGGCUCGGGGAGCGGCGGCGGCGGGGGCGGGGGCGGAGGGGACCGGCCCUCGCUCCUCCUCCGCGAGCGCGGCCACUUCUCCCCGGCGCGCUACUUCGUCGAGGAGGUCAUCACCGGCUACGACGAGACCGACCUCUACAAGACGUGGUCCCGCGCGAACGCGAUGCGGAGCCCGCAGGAGAGGAACACGCGGCUGGAGAACAUGACCUGGAGGAUCUGGAACCUCGCCAGGAAGAAGAAGGAGGUUGAGGAUGCCAAACGGUUAAAACGUCGGUUAGGGACAGAGAAGCCACGGACUGAUGCUACUGCAGAAAUGUCUGAAGAUCUCUUUGAAGGAGAAAAAGGCGAGGAUGCUGGUGAUGCAUCUGUUGCCUAUGGUGACAGCUCAGCUGGGAACACACCUAGGAUCAGUGCCGUUGACAAGCUAUACAUAGUAUUGAUCAGCCUUCAUGGCCUGGUUCGUGGUGAGAACUUGGAGCUUGGCCGGGAUUCAGAUACUAGUGGGCAGGUCAAAUAUGUUGUGGAACUUGCUAAAGCAUUGAGUUCAUGCCCUGGAGUAUACCGGGUUGAUCUGUUGACGAGGCAAAUAUUAGCACCUAAUUAUGAUCGUGGAUAUGGUGAACCGUCAGAGACACUGGUACCAACAAGCUUCAAGAAUCUUAAACAGGAAAGAGGAGAGAACAGUGGUGCAUAUAUCACCCGAAUACCAUUUGGACCGAAAGACAAGUAUCUAGCUAAAGAACAUCUCUGGCCUUACGUGCAAGAAUUUGUUGAUGGUGCACUCAGUCAUAUAGUGCACAUGUCAAAGAUCAUAGGUGAAGAAAUCGGCUGUGGACAUCCAAUGUGGCCUGCUGUGAUUCAUGGUCAUUAUGCCAGUGCAGGAGUUGCUGCUGCUCUGAUAUCUGGAGCACUUAACGUUCACAUGGUAUUUACUGGGCAUUUUCUUGGGAAAGACAAGUUGGAAGGGCUUCUCAAGCAAGGGAGACAGACAAGGGAAGAAAUAAAUAUGACAUACAAAAUAAUGCGCCGAAUUGAAGCAGAAGAACUAUCUCUUGAUGCAUCUGAAAUAGUAAUUGCAAGUACUAGACAAGAGAUAGAAGAGCAAUGGAAUUUGUAUGAUGGUUUUGAGGUCAUGCUUGCAAGGAAGCUUCGUGCGAGAGUCAAGCGUGGUGCUAAUUGCUAUGGACGUUACAUGCCUCGUAUGGUUAUAAUUCCUCCAGGUGUUGAAUUUGGCCAUAUGAUUCAUGAAUUUGAUAUGGAAGGCGAGGAAGAUAGCCAUUCCCCAGCCUCUGAAGAUCCGCCUAUUUGGUCUGAGAUAAUGCGGUUCUUCACAAAUCCUAGGAAACCUUUGAUUCUGGCUGUUGCUCGUCCAUACCCUGAAAAGAAUAUUACAACACUUGUGAAAGCUUUUGGUGAAUGCAGACCAUUGAGGGAGCUUGCUAACCUAACACUGAUUAUGGGUAACCGUGAAGCUAUUUCCAAAAUGAGUAAUAUGAGUGCAGCUGUUUUGACAUCAGUACUUACAUUGAUUGAUGAAUAUGAUUUGUAUGGUCAAGUGGCAUACCCAAAGCAUCACAAACACUCGGAAGUUCUUGAUAUUUAUCGUUUAGCAGCGAGAACAAAGGGUGCUUUUGUAAAUGUAGCUUACUUUGAACAAUUCGGUGUCACCUUGAUAGAGGUGUUGGACAACGGCCUCCUUGUUGAUCCCCACGAUCAGCAUGCAAUUGCAGAUGCACUCUAUAAGCUUCUUUCUGACAAGCAACUCUGGUCAAGAUGUAGAGAAAAUGGGCUGAAAAAUAUACACCGGUUUUCUUGGCCUGAACAUUGCAAGAAUUACUUGUCGAGGAUAUUAACUCUUAGCCCAAGAUACCCUUCUUUUCCGAGCAAUGAAGACCAGUUUAAGGCACCUAUCAAGGGAAGGAAGUGUAUCAUCGUUAUUGCCGUAGACUCUGCCAGUAAGAAAGAUCUGGUCUGUAUCAUAAAAAAUUCUAUUGAGGCUACACGGAAAGAAACGUUGUCAGGUUCAACAGGUUUUGUGUUGUCGACUUCCCUGACAAUGUCAGAGAUACAUUCCCUAUUAAUAUCUGCAGGCAUGGCUCCUACAGAUUUUGAUGCUUUCAUAUGCAAUAGUGGGAGUGAUUUAUUUUACCCUUCGCGGGCUGGUGAUUCACCAAGCACUUCCCGUGUGACAUUUUCAUUAGACCGUAAUUACCAGUCUCAUAUCGAGUAUCGUUGGGGAGGAGAAGGUUUAAGGAAGUACCUAGUGAAGUGGGCUUCCUCGAUAGUAGAAAGAAGGGGAAGAACUGAAAAACAAGUCAUUUUUGAAGAUGCAGAGCACUCCUCAACAAGUUGCCUUGCAUUUAGAGUGGUCAAUCCAAAUUAUUUACCUCCUUUGAAGGAGCUGCAAAAGUUGAUGAGAAUCCAGUCACUGCGUUGCCAUGCUCUUUAUAACCACAGUGCUACCAGGCUAUCUGUAAUUCCAAUUCAUGCAUCACGGUCCCAGGCUCUAAGGUACUUGUCUGUUCGUUGGGGCAUAGAGUUGCGAAACGUCGUGAUUCUUGUCGGUGAAAGCGGCGACUCAGAUUACGAAGAGCUGUUUGGAGGCCUUCACAAGACGAUCGUCCUGAAGGGCGAGUUCAACACGCCCGCAAACAGGAUCCACACGGUCAGGCGGUACCCGCUACAGGACGUCAUCGCGCUCGAUUGCUCGAACAUCAUCGGGGUCGAGGGCUGCAGCGCCGAUGACCUGACGCCUACCCUGAAGGCGCUCGGCAUACCGACAAAGUGACAGAUAGCCAUAUAAUUUUUGCCCUUUUUUCUUUAUACGAUGAGAGGACCGGACAAUACACGAAUAUAGCAAAUAUAUACUACCAUCGUUUCCAUGCUCGAUGGAAAUACCGAUUUUGCCUGCAAGCCGUGUGUUGUGGUGUUGUGUGCGCUCUGUCACCUGAGCUGUGAAUAACAACAUUCCGAUCGUGUUUCCGUCGAGACCGGCCCUGUCAUGUGGGAAUUCUGGAACGAAUAUCGAAUCAGGAACAGGAGGAAGAAAUCUGUUGAGCGCUUGAAGUGUUGUUAACAGAACAUUUUAAGGAAUUCUGUGAUGAACAACGGAUCCAGAAGAGGAAGAGAUCUGUUUGAGCGC
rnacentral:rRNA from 1 species